rnacentral:rRNA from 1 species
AGCAGCCGCGGUAAUUCCAGCUCCAAUAGCGUAUAUUAAAGUUGUUGCAGUUAAAAAGCUCGUAGUUGAAUUUCGGGAUCAAUUAAUUGGUCGUGCCUCCGGUACGCACUGGUUUUAUUGGUUUCUCCCUUCUGACGAACCACGAUGUCAUUAAUUUGGUGUCGUGGAGAAUCAGGACUGUUACUUUGAAAAAUUAGAGUGUUUAAAGCAGGCUAACGCUUGAAUACAUUAGCAUGGAAUAAUGAAAUAGGACGUUUGAUCCUAUUUUGUUGGUUUCUAGGAUCGACGUAAUGAUUAAUAGGGAUAGUUGGGGGCAUUAGUAUUCAAUUGUCAGAGGUGAAAUUCUUGGAUUUAUUGAAGACUAACUACUGCGAAAGCAUUUGCCAAGGAUGUUUUCAUUAAUCAAGAACGAAAGUUAGGGGAUCGAAGACGAUCAGAUACCGUCGUAGUCUUAACCAUAAAACUAUGCCGACUAGGGAUCGGAUGAUGUUAAUUUUUAAUGACUCAUUCGGCGCCUUAA